AUACGGAGGGUGCAAGCGUUACUCGGAAUCACUGGGCGUAAAGCGCGCGCAGGCGGCUAUUUAAGUUGGAUGUGAAAGCCUACGGCUCAACCGUAGAACUGCAUCCAAAACUAUUUAGCUAGAGUGUGGGAGAGGAAGAUGGAAUUAGUUGUGUAGGGGUAAAAUCCGUAGAGAUAACUAGGAAUACCAAAAGCGAAGGCAAUCUUCUGGAACACUACUGACGCUGAGGCGCGAAAGCGUGGGGUGCAAACAGGAUUAGAAACCCUAGUAGUCC
rnacentral:rRNA from 1 species